rnacentral:rRNA from 1 species
GAUGAACGCUGGCGGCGUGCCUAAUACAUGCAAGUCGAGCGAACAGACGAGAGUGCUUGCACUCUCUGACGUUAGCGGCGGACGGGUGAGUAACACGUGGGUAACCUACCUAUAAGACUGGGAUAACUUCGGGAAACCGGAGCUAAUACCGGAUAAUAUUUAGCUUCGCAUGAAGCAAUAGUGAAAGACGGUUCUGCUGUCACUUAUAGAUGGACCCGCGGUGUAUUAGCUAGUUGGUGAGGUAACGGCUCACCAAGGCAACGAUACAUAGCCGACCUGAGAGGGUGAUCGGCCCACUGGGGCCGGGACCACGGCCCAGACCCCUCGGGGGGGCAGCAGUAGGGAAUCUUCCGCAAUGGACGAAAGUUGGACGGAGAAAUGCCGGGGGGGGGAAAAAGGUUUUGGGAUCGAAAAACUCUUUUGUAGGGGAAAAAAAAGUACGUUAGUAACGGAACGUACCUUGCCGGGCCCGUACCAGAAAGCCCGGGCUAACUACGG